CCCUUAGAUGUUCUGGGCCGCACGCGCGCUACACUGAUGCAUUCAACGAGUCUAAAACCUGCUCUGAUAGGGGUGGGUAAUCUUUUGAAUGUGCAUCGUGAUUGGGAUAGAUGAUUGCAAUUUUUCAUCUUCAACGAGGAAUGCCUAGUAAACGCAAGUCAUCAGCUUGCAUUGAUUACGUCCCUGCCCUUUGUACACACCGCCCGUCGCUCCUACCGAUUGAAUGAUCCGAUGAAUAUCAUGGAUUGAGGAUGUAAGCAGGUUCGCCUGUCUUCAUCUUCGUGAAGUGAAGUAAAUCUUAUCAUUUAGAGGAAGGAGAAGUCGUAACA
rnacentral:rRNA from 1 species